AGUGAACGCUGGCGGUAGGCCUAACACAUGCAAGUCGAACGGCAGCACAGUAAGAGCUUGCUCUUACGGGUGGCGAGUUGCGGACGGGUGAGGAAUACAUCGGAAUCUACUUUUUCGUGGGGGAUAACGUAGGGAAACUUACGCUAAUACCGCAUACGACCUACGGGUGAAAGCAGGGGAUCUUCGGACCUUGCGCGAUUGAAUGAGCCGAUGUCGGAUUAGCUAGUUGGCGGGGUAAAGGCCCACCAAGGCGACGAUCCGUAGCUGGUCUGAGAGGAUGAUCAGCCACACUGGAACUGAGACACGGUCCAGACUCCUACGGGAGGCAGCAGUGGGGAAUAUUGGACAAUGGGCGCAAGCCUGAUCCAGCCAUACCGCGUGGGUGAAGAAGGCCUUCGGGUUGUAAAGCCCUUUUGUUGGGAAAGAAAAGCAGCAGGUUAAUACCCCGCUGUUCUGACGGUACCCAAAGAAUAAGCACCGGCUAACUGCGU
rnacentral:rRNA from 1 species